rnacentral:misc_RNA from 1 species
GAAAUGCGAUAAGUAAUGCGAAUUGCAGAAUUCCAGUGAGUCAUCGAAUCUUUGAACGCACAUUGCGCCCUUUGGUAUUCCGAAGGGCAUGCCUGUUCGAGCGUCAUUAUCACCCCUCAGGCCCCCGGGCUUGGUGUUGGACGGCUUGGUCGAUCUCGACCCCUCCUAAAGACAAUGACGGCGGCCUCGUGGGACCCCCGGUACACUGAGCUUCUUCACAGAGCACGUAUCGGAUCAGGGUGUCCGGGCCCCGGUCGGCUCCCUCCUCGGGAAAUUUUUUCAGGUUGACCUCGGAUCAGGUAGGAAUACCCGCUGAACUUAA